CCUACGGGAGGCAGCAGUUGGGAAUCUUGGACAAUGGGGGAAACCCUGAUCCAGCCAUGCCGCGUGAGUGAUGAAGGCCUUCGGGUUGUAAAACUCUUUCGCGCACGACGCGGUAGUGCGAGAAGAAGCUCCGGCUAACUUCGUGCCAGCAGCCGCGGUAAUACGAAGGGGGCUAGCGUUGUUCGGAAUUACUGGGCGUAAAGCGCGCGCAGGCGGUCUUCCAAGUCAGUGGUGAAAGCCCGGAGCUCAACUCCGGAACUGCCAUUGAAACUGUUAGACUUGAGGACGAGAGAGGUGAGUGGAAUUCCCAGUGUAGAGGUGAAAUUCGUAGAUAUUGGGAAGAACACCGGUGGCGAAGGCGGCUCACUGGCUCGUCUGACGCUCAGGCGCGACAGCGUGGGGAUCAAACAGGAUUAGAUACCCUUGUAGUC
rnacentral:rRNA from 1 species